CCUACGGGAGGCAGCAGUGGGGAAUUAUGGACAAUGGGCGAAAGCCUGAUCCAGCCAUACCGCGUGCGGGAAGAAGGCCUUCGGGUUGUAAACCGCUUUUGUCAGGGAAGAAAUCUUCUGGGCUAUUACCUCGGGAGGAUGACGGUACCUGAAGAAUAAGCACCGGCUAACUACGUGCCAGCAGCCGCGGUAAUACGUAGGGCGCAAGCGUUAAUCGGAAUUACUGGGCGUAAAGCGUGCGCACGCGGUUCCAUAAGACAGAUGUGAAAUCCCCGGGCUCAACCUGGGAACUGCAUUUGUGACUCUGGAGCUAGAGUACGGUAGAGGGGGAUGGAAUUCCGCGUGUAGCAGUGAAAUGCGUAGAUAUGCGGAGGAACACCUAUGGCGAAGGCAAUCCCCUGGGCCUGUACUGACGCUCAUGCACGAAAGCGUGGGGAGCAAACAGGAUAAGAUACCCUGGUAGU
rnacentral:rRNA from 1 species